rnacentral:tRNA from 2 species
UGCCCUUUAGCCAAGUGGAAAGGCAGCGGUUUUUGGCACCGUCAUUCGUUAGUUCGAAUCUAACAAGGGCAGCCA